UCUUCAAGUUCACAGGGUAAAUAAUUUGUGUUGGGGUGCCAUCGCGUGGCCAUUCUUGGGCAUUGCAACCUACCGAUUAAUUUCUCUCCAUUCGCGCUCGUUAAAUUUGGCCGAACUACUCAUUCCUCCUUUUUGGGGCCUUACAGGAACCGGCUUGGCGCUUGGUGUGUCGGCGCGCCCUCCUGUGGCCAAAUCUCGAUACUGCACCCUAACUACUUACAAGACCCUGAUUCUUCACACCACUAUAUGGAAUAUUAAACUUAUAAUUCUAUAUAUUUUUAACGUGGCAAAAGAUUACGCAGUUCAUUUAUUUCUCGUGAAAUAAAACCUGUUCCACUUGUUUAAAUUAAGAAAUUACGGGUGCAAUGGAAAUGGGCCGGCAGGCUGCAGUGCCCGCUUCUGGCCACCAGAGAGCACUCCAACGAUAGGAAUGAGUCACCGAACUACAGUCGUGCGGGUAAAAAAAACUACAACUCCCAUACUGCUCUGCGCGGGAAGCCCGGGCGAAGCUAACGCCUUAUUGUGGGGUGCCCUCCUGCGGCACCAACCCAGCACUCCACCGUGAUCGCUUGUUUCCUUCAACCAGUGAUUCCUGGCAAGGAAUUUCAAAUUAUACAGCCCCGCAAGGCGCUUUAAAAAAUAAAAAUAAGGAAUUUAUGGCGGUAAUGGAGGCCGGCCGGCAGACUGUAGUAUCCCCUUUUGGCCACUGGAGGGCACUCCAACACAAGGAAUGAGGAGCCGUAAGGGCACGUUGGACGAGAAAACUACAAUUCCCAGGGCGCUUCGCCCGCCGACCUGGCAAGAAGGCCGGCGCUGAUUGGUGCUUCUUCCGCAGCCAACAGGAACGAGGGGACGGAAAGCGAGCGGGGCCGAAAUAAGAGGGCGGCUGCGCUUGCGCACUUGGGGGGUACCUCCACGGAGAUGUGGGACGACGUGGAGACCUCGGCUGUUGACGCGGAUCCUCGUGAGGGACUAGCGCCUUUGGUGUCCUCGCAGUGAGGAGUCUUCGGAGACUGUGGCAGACCGAAGCUCUCAACCUGGCCGAAUAUCAGCAAUUCUGGGGCGCCAACCCUCAACCUCCCCCAACUUGCCUUUGCUGCUAUUUCAGGGACUCCGGGAGCGGCUGCCGGAAGCGGCCCUUCUCCUACGCUGGGCGCGAAACUGCAGAAAAGGGGGGGGGGGAAGAGAUCUGAACCAAAAUCUAAACAUACUAAAUCCCUUUUUUCUUCCCGUUAAUGUAACCAUAAAGCAAAUUAUUACUUUAUCCCUCCCUUUUCUGCAAGGAGCUGAAGGUGCAGGCCACGCUCUCUAUUACACCAUUUUAUCCACUCAAAACAGUGCCAGGCCAGUCGAGGGGCCCAGUGGCCCAAAGACACACAGUUCAGUUUCAUGGGGAUCUAAAUCCACCACUUUCCAGACCAAACGCAACCCAUUCAAAAGCACUCUGAGGCAAAGGACACACACCACCACAACAGCAAGCUCUAUUGGGCAAAAUCUACCACUUUCCAUGCCCUAAAAGGCUUCAGGGCCAAGAAACCUCAAACUCUCCCAAGCUCAAGUCUUUGGGCUUUGCCUUCUGGGACCCUUCUGCCCUCCCCUCCCCCCUCGCUUCCAGACAGUCAUUUUUCAGUCCACUAGCCACACUCUUCAGUGGACCACGAAAACCGCAUCCCUCCUUUUACAGCCACACGCUGAGACAGGAAGCCCCGCAGAAUGAACACCCCAGCACCCUGAUCGAAAAAGAAAUGAAGAUAGCUUUAUUGAGCUGAGUGGCACAUGGCAGGUUGAUGUCCCCU
ensembl:lncRNA